CUUCCUCACUGAAAACCAGGGUCAGAUUUACAGCAUCACAUCACCACAUCAACUUUCUAGAAUCAUAUCGUCA